UACAGAGGGUGCAAGCGUUAAUCGGAAUCACUGGGCGUAAAGCGUGCGUAGGCGGCUUAGCAAGUCGGGCGUGAAAUCCCCGGGCUCAACCUGGGAAUGGCACUCGAUACUACUAAGCUAGAGUCUGGUAGAGGGAAGUGGAAUUCCCGGUGUAGCGGUGAAAUGCGUAGAUAUCGGGAGGAACAUCAGUGGCGAAGGCGACUUCCUGGACCAACACUGACGCUGAGGCACGAAAGCGUGGGGAGCAAACAGG
rnacentral:rRNA from 1 species